AUUGAACGCUGGCGGCAUGCUUUACACAUGCAAGUCGAACGGUAACAGGCCGCAAGGUGCUGACGAGUGGCGAACGGGUGAGUAAUGCAUCGGAACGUGCCCAGUCGUGGGGGAUAACUACUCGAAAGAGUAGCUAAUACCGCAUACGAUCUAUGGAUGAAAGCGGGGGACCGUAAGGCCUCGCGCGAUUGGAGCGGCCGAUGUCAGAUUAGGUAGUUGGUGGGGUAAAGGCUCACCAAGCCAACGAUCUGUAGCUGGUCUGAGAGGACAACCAGCCACACUGGGACUGAGACACGGCCCAGACUCCUACGGGAGGCAGCAGGGGGGAAUUUUGGACAAUGGGCGCAAGCCUGAUCCAGCAAUGCCGCGUGCAGGAAGAAGGCCUUCGGGUUGUAAACUGCUUUUGUACGGAACGAAACGGCUCUGGUUAAUACCCGGGGCUAAUGACGGUACCGUAAGAAUAAGCACCGGCUAACUACGUG
rnacentral:rRNA from 1 species